GUGCAUGGCCGUUCUUAGUUGGUGGAGCGAUUUGUCCGGUUAAUUCCGUUAACGAACGAGACCUCAGCCUGCUAACUAGCUACACGGAGGUGAUCCUCCGUGGCUAGCUUCUUAGAGGGACUAUGGCCUUUUAGGCCACGAAAGUUUGAGGCAAUAACAGGUCUGUGAUGC
rnacentral:ncRNA from 1 species